GGGGCUAUGGACUUGGUUUUUCUGAAUUUUGAAGGAAAAACAUCUUAUUAUUCGAAGCUACAUUACCUUACUUAUACAAUAACUUGUACAUUAGAUUAUCCAAAUAAAAUUACAAUCAAUAUUGAUGGGUUGGGUCGAGCCUCUAUUCUACAAACAGGAAAGGAAUUGGAGUCCAAUAUUAUAUUCAGAUUGAGUUGCGUCAUUGAGCA
rnacentral:lncRNA from 1 species